UACGUAGGUGGCAAGCGUUGUCCGGAUUUACUGGGCGUAAAGAGCGCGCAGGCGGUUGAUUAAGUCGAAUGUGAAAGCCCCCGGCUCAACUGGGGAGGGUCAUUCGAUACUGAUCGACUUGAAGGCAGGAGAGAGAAGUGGAAUUCCCGGUGUAGUGGUGGAAAUGCGUAGAUAUCGGGAGGAACACCAGUGGCGAAGGCGAACUUCUUGGCCUGUUCUUGACGCUGAGGCGCGAAAGCUGGGGGAGCAAACGGGG
rnacentral:rRNA from 1 species